CUUGUCGGCCCUUUUGUGUGUCGGGAACGGACCUCGGCGGCGUUUGCCUGGACAGGACCUCAACGGCGACCUGCAGGUCCCCAUUGAGAUGCCUGGAUACUUAUCUAAAUAUAAGGUGCCUGACAUUAUUGAUUCCUUUGGAUAAUUCAUAAGCUGAUUAUUAGCAGGUGUACGUGCUGAUGAUAAAAAGGAGCACUACUCAACCAAAUGGUUUGAUUUUUUGAGUCUAAUGAAACACUGUUAGUUCACUUUCUUAAACUUGUUUAAAAAUGGUUAGUACCUCGAGUUCCAGGAGUUCAAAUUAUCACACAUAUUAGAAGAGAAGUCGUCACCUUUCAGUUGUUUUCUUGAAUCUAAAUGUGUUUCUAUACUAAUCCCUAGGAAACAAUUCAUACCAUAUUAGUAAUUUCAGAAUCGCUGAGUCUUCUUCAUUCUCUGAUCUAGAAAGUUUUUGUUGUAAAUUUUGCAUUAGGACUAUACAGCUAAUGAUUUGUGGAUGGUAAGGUGCCAUAAUAAUAGUGAUUUCACUUUUAUUUGUACCGCUUCGACUUCUGUAAAUUCGUAGACUACUAAUUGUUAUAAUGAAAGAAAAUGAUUUAGUUCAAAUAUGAGAGCUAUUUAGUGAUGUGGUCUUUGGAUUUUUCCAUUCAGAUGUUAGAGCUCCUGUGGUACUCAGAUAUCGAUGCAUCAUGGGGCUGGAGAAGGUCCUUUUAUGCGUGAUGUCAUUUUAAUACCGGUUUCAAAUUUGCUUUAUCUUGUUUUCCCUCAUUCAUUAAAUUAUAGGAUUCUAUUUGUUUGUAUGACUAAAUGCAGAUAUGAAAUUGUUCUUGACAGAUGAUUGUAACUAAGGUCAUGUUCUAGGUAUAAAAAAUGAUCUGCUGGAUCAUGCUCUUGCAAUAACUGAUUUCGCUAUCAAGUCUACAAUCCAAUGUUGAUCUAGAAGGUAGACUCUUUAAACUUCAUUGAUGCUUUCUUGGCCGUUUUGAUCUAAUAUCUCUCUGAUGUGGUUAGUAUAAACAUAUGGUGGUAUAAUUAGUUUUUGCUUUUUUUGUGGGAUGAUAAUGUUGCAGAUAGAUGAAGACUGAAUUAGUUCACAGUUGAUCUUGGUUCUAUACGAUCUUCUAUACUUGGGUCUCGUAGGUCUGUCUCCCAAGAGCAACGAGAAGAAAUCUGUUAACACAUUACUGCAUUAUAUGUAACAUAUGUCCAUUUUCACGGAAUGAAGGGUGAGUGCUAAUUACUUGUGCUCAACCAUUAUGGGGCCCCGAACUUUCUGACCAUUCGAGUUAUACUCCAGAGUCUUGAUGUUGACUGAAUUGAAAAUUUGGAGCUGUCGAGACUCGAGCUUCGUUUUUCAUGGAUUAGUGGUUAUUGAAUUUUUAUGCCUCUAGCCCAUGCUUGCAGGAACACAAUUAUUGAGUGGAACAAUGGGUGUAAAAGAGUAUGUGCAGAGUGAAUUUGAUAAUGUAGAAGCUCAGAUUAGAAGCACAAAUACGGUCCUUUUUUCCAAUUUUUGGAAGCAACGGUUUUACUGCUGCUCCUCCGAUGACCGAGGGUAGGCUGCAACUCUAGAUACAGAGAGAGCGAGUACAUAUAUAUAAUCUUUCGAUUCUUCUUUUUGUUUGUGAUGCUGCUGCAUUUUUCUUAAGCAGGGCUUGCCACUUUGUUGCAGUUGUGAGUUCUUUUAGUUUCCUUUUUAUGGGCAACCUGGAGCUCAAUUCUUAAAUUCCAAGGCCAUCGAGCAGGACAUGGAUCAUAUACUAGGAGUUUUAGUUAUGUAUGCAUCUAAUGUGGGCAAACCGCAUGGCACAUUCUUUUAUUUGGCUGGUGCAAAACCUAUGAAGUUUUCCCUGUCAGCUAAUUUAAUGUGCUUACCUCUGCAUUAGACAGCUAGCUAUUAUGAUUAUACACUACGUUUCCUAUGUUAUGUGCUUGGUUUUCCUCUUUUGCUCACUCCUUCCAUUGUUGGUGAAGGACCGGUCAGUCCAUAGUUCAUCGUUUGGCUUGCUUCUCGCUAAGCUCUUUCUUCCUUGUCUCCUGUUCGGUAAAAUGUCUGAGAGCUGACACAGUUUUGUUUCUCGUUUCCUUGCCUGUCCAGGUUCUUUGUUGGUUCGUUGGCAGUUCCUAAUUUUUUUCCUGUAGCCGGUUGAGGAUGCUUUUGCAGUUUCCUGUUCAUGGGGUACUCUUAAUUAGUGAGUUAUUUUUUCUUUGAAUGGUUAAGCAAUCCACGAUUCACUAUGAAUGAAGUGGGAGGUCUAAGGGAACAACUAAGGUUAUAUUGCAAGGUGUGAUGAUGCCCGCCUUUUGGAGCAUGUUCAACUUUUAUAGACCUAUUAGCUUGCUAUGCUUGACGACUAAACACUUGCUGCUGCACUUCUGUUAUUUAUAUUCUUUUUUGAACAACUAGCGCUCGUCUGUGUUGUGUAUGAGUGAACACUGCAAUGAUCUAUUUCAGUUAAGUGCACUUGCUUUUAACA